GUCCAACAACUUUACUAUUUACACAGUUUCCAUUUUUUCUCCAGCACACACCUUUGGAUGCCAGUGUUUUGGCCUGUUCAACAAAAGGUCUGAGAAAGAUGGACAUGACAGGCUCUUGAGCCCCAAACCACAGACCUGCAAGUACUACAUUGUUAAAUCUCAUUUUGGGAGGAAGCUCGUUUAAAUGCAGCUGUAUUGGCCAUAUUGAAAAUCUGGAAGACUUGAACACAGAUCUUCCAGAUCUGAAUCGAGUCCAUAAACACUGCCUUCAGGCUUGCUGGCAAUCUUAAAACACCCCUCCAGUAUGGUCGGUAAGCUAACCUGGUCGGUUGUGUCAUCUGUAUCCAGCUGAAGAUCA